AUUGAACGCUGGCGGCAGGCCUAACACAUGCAAGUCGAGCGGAUGAAGGGAGCUUGCUCCUGGAUUCAGCGGCGGACGGGUGAGUAAUGCCUAGGAAUCUGCCUGGUAGUGGGGGAUAACGUCCGGAAACGGGCGCUAAUACCGCAUACGUCCUGAGGGAGAAAGUGGGGGAUCUUCGGACCUCACGCUAUCAGAUGAGCCUAGGUCGGAUUAGCUAGUUGGUGGGGUAAAGGCCUACCAAGGCGACGAUCCGUAACUGGUCUGAGAGGAGGAUCAGUCACACUGGAACUGAGACACGGUCCAGACGCCUACGGGAGGCAGCAGUGGGGAAUAUUGGACAAUGGGCGAAAGCCUGAUCCAGCCAUGCCGAGUGUGUGAAGAAGGUCUUCGGAUUGUAAAGCACUUUAAGUUGGGAGGAAGGGCAGUAAGUUAAUACCUUGCUGUUUUGACGUUACCAACAGAAUAAGCACCGGCUAACUUCGUG
rnacentral:rRNA from 1 species